AGUGAACGCUAGUGGCGUGCUUAACACAUGCAAGUCGAACGGACGAUAUUUGUGCUUGCACAAAUAAAGUUAGUGGCAAACGGGUGAGUAAUACAUCGGAACGUGCCCAGUCGUGGGGGAUAACUACUCGAAAGAGUAGCUAAUACCGCAUACGAUCUGAGGAUGAAAGCGGGGGACCUUCGGGCCUCGCGCGAUUGGAGCGGCCGAUGGCAGAUUAGGUAGUUGGUGGGAUAAAAGCUUACCAAGCCGACGAUCUGUAGCUGGUCUGAGAGGACGACCAGCCACACUGGGACUGAGACACGGCCCAGACUCCUACGGGAGGCAGCAGUGGGGAAUUUUGGACAAUGGGCGAAAGCCUGAUCCAGCAAUGCCGCGUGCAGGAUGAAGGCCUUCGGGUUGUAAACUGCUUUUGUACGGAACGAAAAAGCUUCUCCUAAUACGAGAGGCCCAUGACGGUACCGUAAGAAUAAGCACCGGCUAACUACGUGCCAGCCGCCGCCGUAAAC
rnacentral:rRNA from 1 species